AUUGAACGCUGGCGGCAGGCCUAACACAUGCAAGUCGAACGCGUCGCGGACGUGUGAGUAAUGUCUGGGACACUGCCUUGUGGAGGGGUAUAACUUCUGGAAACUGUCUCUAAUACCGUAUACCCUCGUAUGUGCCCAGAUGGGAGUAGCUUGUAGGUGGGGUAAAGGCUCACCUAGGCGACGAUCCCUAGCUGGUCUGAGAGGAUGACCAGCCACACUGGAACUGAGACACGGUCCAGACUCCUACGGGAGGCAGCAGUGGGGAAUAUUGCACAAUGGGCGCAAGCCUGAUACAGCCAUGCCGCGUGUAUGAAGAAGGCCUUCGGGUUGUAAAGUACUUUCAGCGGGGAGGCGUUACCCGCAGAAGAAGCACCGGCUAACUCCGUGCCAGCAGCCGCGGUAAUUC
rnacentral:rRNA from 1 species